AUGAUAGGCUACCUCUUUAAUGUCAUACUUCAAGAGGUAAUCAUCAGGACCUUGGAAAAGAAUGAGGGCUUCAGCUGCAAUCGGGCAGAAUUUGCCAGGGCCAGUGGAUUUCACCAUUAAAGGCUGAAUAAAUGUGAUAGUCUUGAUUGCAUUUAUUUUGGAUGUUUGAUUAAAGAAAAAUCUAUUGUAA